rnacentral:ncRNA from 1 species
ACUUUAAAUGGGCAAGAUCCAGUAGUUACUUAAUUGAACUAUUGGGGUCAAUGAGACGACUCUAAGUGGGCCAUUUUUGGUAAGCAGAACUGGCGAUGAGGGAUGAACCUAACGCUCGGUUAAGGUGCUAAACUGCUCGCUCAUCAGAUACCACAAAGGGUGUUGGUCGAUCUUAACAGCAGGACGGUGGUCAUGGAAGUCGAAAUCCGCUAAGGAGUGUGUAACAACUCACCUGCCGAAUCGACUAGCCCCGAAAAUGGAUAGCGCUGAAGCGAGUGACCGAUACCGGGCCAUUGUUGCAAGAUAAUUGGCAACAAUGAGUAGGAGGGCGUGGGGGUUGUGAAGAAGCUUGGACGUGAGUCUGAGUGAAACAGCUUCCAGUGCAGAUCUUGGUGGUAGUAGCAAGUAUUCAAUAAGAGAACAUUGAAGGCCGAAGUGGGGAAGGGUUCCAUGUGAACAGCACUUGGACAUGGGUUAGCCGAUCCUGAGAGACAGGUUAAAUUCCAUCGGAUUGGAGCUUUGGCUCUGUUUCUCGAAAGGGAAGCUGGUUAGUAUUCCAGCGCCGAGACGUGGAUAAUAUGUGGCAACACAAGUGAACUCGGACACGCCAUAGGGGACCCCAGGAAGCGUUGUCUUUUCUUUUUAACAGUUCGACUUACCCUGGAAUCAGAUCAUCUGGAGAUAGGGUUUUCGAACUGGAAUAGCACCUUGUCUAACAGGGUGUCUGGAGUGUUCUCGCUGGCCCUUGAAAAUCCGAGGGAUAGAUUUAUUCGCACUCUCGAUCGUACCCAUAACCGCAUCAGGUCUCCAAGGUUAGAAGCCUCUGGUCCGUAGGACAAAGUAGAUAAGGGAAGUCGGCAAAAUAGGUCCGUAACUUCGGGAAAAGGACUGGCUCUGAGGUUUGGUAUGUGGAACCUGGAUUAAUCGUUGGAGUCGAGCAGAGACUACUUGUUGCUCACGUGACUUGUGGACUCCUUGCUUGAUACCUUCAAUUGAUCCAGGCUGCUUCGGCGCUCUGCAUGCACUUAACAAACAGCUCAGAACUGAGCG